ACACAUGCAAGUCGAGCGGUAAGGCCCUUCGGGGUACACGAGCGGCGAACGGGUGAGUAACACGUGAGCAACCUGCCCCUGACUCCGGGAUAAGCGGUGGAAACGCCGUCUAAUACCGGAUAUGACCUGCCACCUCAUGGUGGCGGGUGGAAAGUUUUAUCGGUCAGGGAUGGGCUCGCGGCCUAUCAGCUUGUUGGUGGGGUAACGGCCUACCAAGGCGAUUACGGGUAGCCGGCCUGAGAGGGCGACCGGCCACACUGGGACUGAGACACGGCCCAGACUCCUGCGGGAGGCAGCAGUGGGGAAUAUUGCACAAUGGGCGAAAGCCUGAUGCAGCGACGCCGCGUGGGGGAUGACGGCCUUCGGGUUGUAAACCUCUUUUACCACCAACGCAGGCUCCGGGUUUUCUCGGGGUUGACGGUAGGUGGGGAAUAAGGACCGGCUAACUACGUGCCAGCAGCCGCGGUAAUACGUAGGGUCCGAGCGUUGUCCGGAAUUAUUGGGCGUAAAGAGCUCGUAGGCGGCAUGUCGCGUCUGCUGUGAAAGACCGGGGCUUAACUCCGGUUCUGCAGUGGAUACGGGCAUGCUAGAGGUAGGUAGGGGAAACUGGAAUUCCUGGUGUAGCGGUGAAAUGCGCAGAUAUCAGGAGGAACACCGGUGGCGAAGGCGGGUUUCUGGGCCUUACCUGACGCUGAGGAGCGAAAGCAUGGGGAGCGAACAGGAUUAGAUACCCUGGUAGUCCAUGCCGUAAACGUUGGGCGCUAGGUGUGGGGACUUUCCACGGUUUCCGCGCCGUAGCUAACGCAUUAAGCGCCCCGCCUGGGGAGUACGGCCGCAAGGCUAAAACUCAAAGGAAUUGACGGGGGCCCGCACAAGCGGCGGAGCAUGUUGCUUAAUUCGACGCAACGCGAAGAACCUUACCAAGGUUUGACAUCACCCGUGGACCUGUAGAGAUACAGGGUCAUUUAGUUGGUGGGUGACAGGUGGUGCAUGGCUGUCGUCAGCUCGUGUCGUGAGAUGUUGGGUUAAGUCCCGCAACGAGCGCAACCCUUGUUCUAUGUUGCCAGCACGUCAUGGUGGGGACUCAUAGGAGACUGCCGGGGUCAACUCGGAGGAAGGUGGGGACGACGUCAAGUCAUCAUGCCCCUUAUGUCUUGGGCUGCAAACAUGCUACAAUGGCCGGUACAAUGGGCGUGCGAUACCGUAAGGUGGAGCGAAUCCCUUAAAGCCGGUCUCAGUUCGGAUUGGGGUCUGCAACUCGACCCCAUGAAGGUGGAGUCGCUAGUAAUCGCGGAUCAGCAACGCCGCGGUGAAUACGUUCCCGGGCCUUGUACACACCGCCCGUCACGUCAUGAAAGUCGGCAACACCCGAAACUUGUGGCCUAACCCUUCGGGGAGGGAAUCAG
rnacentral:rRNA from 1 species